GACAGAGGGUGCAAACGUUGCUCGGAAUUACUGGGCGUAAAGCGCGUGUAGGCGGACCUGCAAGUCGGACGUGAAAGCCCUGGGCUCAACCCAGGAACUGCAUCCGAAACUGCGGGCCUGGAGUGGUGGAGAGGGAAGCAGAAUUCCUGGUGUAGAGGUGAAAUUCGUAGAUAUCAGGAGGAACACCAGUGGCGAAGGCGGCUUCCUGGACACCAACUGACGCUGAGACGCGAAAGCGUGGGGAGCAAACAGG
rnacentral:rRNA from 1 species